UACGAAGGGGGCUAGCGUUGCUCGGAAUUACUGGGCGUAAAGGGAGCGUAGGCGGACAGUUUAGUCAGAGGUGAAAGCCCAGGGCUCAACCUUGGAAUUGCCUUUGAUACUGGCUGUCUUGAGUACGGGAGAGGUGUGUGGAACUCCGAGUGUAGAGGUGAAAUUCGUAGAUAUUCGGAAGAACACCAGUGGCGAAGGCGACUUACUGGACACAUAUUGACGCUGAGGUGCGAAAGCGUGGGGAGCAAACAGG
rnacentral:rRNA from 1 species